AUUGAACGCUGGCGGCAGGCCUAACACAUGCAAGUCGAGCGGAUGAAGGGAGCUUGCUCCUGGAUUCAGCGGCGGACGGGUGAGUAAUGCCUAGGAAUCUGCCUGGUAGUGGGGGAUAACGUCCGGAAACGGGCGCUAAUACCGCAUACGUCCUGAGGGAGAAAGUGGGGGAUCUUCGGACCUCACGCUAUCAGAUGAGCCUAGGUCGGAUUAGCUAGUUGGUGGGGUAAAGGCCUACCAAGGCGACGAUCCGUAACUGGUCUGAGAGGAUGAUCAGUCACACUGGAACUGGGACAGGGUCCAGACUCCUACGGGAGGGAGCAGUGGGGAAUAGUGGACAAUGGGCGAGAGCCUGAUCCAGCCAUGCCGCGUGUGUGAAGAAGGUCUUCGGAUUGUAAAGCACUUUAAGUUGGGAGGAAGGGCAGUAAGUUAAUACCUUGCUGUAUUGACGUUACCAACAGAAUAAGCACCGGCUAACUUCGUG
rnacentral:rRNA from 1 species